UACGGCGGCCAUGGCGAGAGUGAAACGCCCGGCUCCAUUCCGAACCCGGAAGCUAAGCCUCUCAGCGCCGAUGGUACUGCGCGGGUGACCGCGUGGGAGAGUAGGACGCCGCCGGAC
rnacentral:rRNA from 1 species